rnacentral:rRNA from 1 species
UACGAAGGGGGCUAGCGUUGCUCGGAAUCACUGGGCGUAAAGGGCGCGCAGGCGGCUUUGCAAGUCAGGCGUUAAAGACCCAGGCUCAACCUGGGGAAUGCGCUUGAUACUGCAGAGCUUGAGAUCGGAAGAGGAGAGUGGAAUUCCCAGUGUAGAGGUGAAAUUCGUAGAUAUUGGGAAGAACACCAGUGGCGAAGGCGGCUCUCUGGUCCGAUUCUGACGCUGAGGCGCGAAAGCGUGGGGAGCAAACAGG